AUUGAGAAAGGGAAGUCAAAGGAGAAAAUAAGAGUAACAUUUCAAAGUACUGCUUCUAGCAGAGCUUGAGAGAAACUCUUGUGUUAAUUUAUUACUGUUUCGAUGUAAUUUUCCUUCGUUUCUUUUCAGGAAGAGAUCACCUCAUAGGAUCUGCGGCCAAAGAGCUACUCUUUUUAGCUGUACCUGGACCAAGAUUAGU
rnacentral:lncRNA from 1 species